UACGUAGGGGGCUAGCGUUGUCCGGAAUCAUUGGGCGUAAAGAGCGUGUAGGCGGCCCGGUAAGUCCGCUGUGAAAGUCGGGGGCUCAACCCUGGAAUGCCGGUGGAAACUGUCGAGCUAGAGUCCGGAAGAGGCGAGUGGAAUUCCUGGUGUAGCGGUGAAAUGCGCAGAUAUCAAGAGGAACACCAGUGGCGAAGGCGAGUCCCUGGACAACACCUGACACUGAGGCACGAAAGCUGGGGGAGCAAACAGG
rnacentral:rRNA from 1 species